GACGAACGCUGGCGGCGUGCUUAACACAUGCAAGUCGAACGGAAAGGCCCUGCUUUUGUGGGGUGCUCGAGUGGCGAACGGGUGAGUAACACGUGAGUAACCUGCCCUUGACUUUGGGAUAACUUCAGGAAACUGGGGCUAAUACCGGAUAGGAGCUCCUGCUGCAUGGUGGGGGUUGGAAAGUUUCGGCGGUUGGGGAUGGACUCGCGGCUUAUCAGCUUGUUGGUGGGGUAGUGGCUUACCAAGGCUUUGACGGGUAGCCGGCCUGAGAGGGUGACCGGCCACAUUGGGACUGAGAUACGGCCCAGACUCGUACGGGGGGCAGCAGUGGGGAAUAUUGCACAAUGGGCGGAAGCCUGAUGCAGCAACGCCGCGUGCGGGAUGACGGCCUUCGGGUUGUAAACCGCUUUCGCCUGUGACGAAGCGUGAGUGACGGUAAUGGGUAAAGAAGCACCGGCUAACUACGUG
rnacentral:rRNA from 1 species